UGUUUAUUUUACCUUGUUGCUUCGGCGGGCCCGCCUUAACUGGCCGCCGGGGGGCUUACGCCCCCGGGCCCGCGCCCGCCGAAGACACCCUCGAACUCUGUCUGAAGAUUGUAGUCUGAGUGAAAAUAUAAAUUAUUUAAAACUUUCAACAACGGAUCUCUUGGUUCCGGCAUCGAUGAAGAACGCAGCGAAAUGCGAUACGUAAUGUGAAUUGCAAAUUCAGUGAAUCAUCGAGUCUUUGAACGCACAUUGCGCCCCCUGGUAUUCCGGGGGGCAUGCCUGUCCGAGCGUCAUUGCUGCCCUCAAGCACGGCUUGUGUGUUGGGCCCCGUCCUCCGAUCCCGGGGGACGGGCCCGAAAGGCAGCGGCGGCACCGCGUCCGGUCCUCGAGCGUAUGGGGCUUUGUCACCCGCUCUGUAGGCCCGGCCGGCGCUUGCCGAUCAACCCAAAUUUUUAUCCAGGUUGACCUCGGAUCAGGUAGGGAUACCCGCUGAACUUAAGCAUAUCAA
rnacentral:rRNA from 1 species